GGGUUGUGAGGUUAAGCGACUAAGCGUACACGGUGGAUGCCCUGGCAGUCAGAGGCGAUGAAGGACGUGCUAAUCUGCGAUAAGCGCCGGUAAGGUGAUAUGAACCGUUAUAACCGGCGAUUUCCGAAUGGGGAAACCCAGUGUGAUUCGUCACACUAUCAUUAACUGAAUCCAUAGGUUAAUGAGGCGAACCGGAGGAACUGAAACAUCUAAGUACCCCGAGGAAAAGAAAUCAACCGAGAUUCCCCCAGUAGCGGCGAGCGAACGGGGAGGAGCCCAGAGCCUGAAUCAGCAUGUGUGUUAGUGGAAGCGUCUGGAAAGGCGCGCGAUACAGGGUGACAGCCCCGUACACAAAAGCGCAUGUGCUGUGAGCUCGAUGAGUAGGGCGGGACACGUGGUAUCCUGUCUGAAUAUGGGGGGACCAUCCUCCAAGGCUAAAUACUCCUGACUGACCGAUAGUGAACCAGUACCGUGAGGGAAAGGCGAAAAGAACCCCGGCGAGGGGAGUGAAAAAGAACCUGAAACCGUGUACGUACAAGCAGUGGGAGCACAGGUUUACCUGUGUGACUGCGUACCUUUUGUAUAAUGGGUCAGCGACUUAUAUUCUGUAGCAAGGUUAACCGUAUAGGGGAGCCGGAGGGAAACCGAGUCUUAACCGGGCGUUAAGUUGCAGGGUAUAGACCCGAAACCCGGUGAUCUAGCCAUGGGCAGGUUGAAGGUUGGGUAACACUAACUGGAGGACCGAACCGACUAAUGUUGAAAAAUUAGCGGAUGACCUGUGGCUGGGGGUGAAAGGCCAAUCAAACCGGGAGAUAGCUGGUUCUCCCCGAAAGCUAUUUAGGUAGCGCCUCGUGAAUUCAUCUCCGGGGGUAGAGCACUGUUUCGGCUAGGGGGCCAUCCCGGCUUACCAACCCGAUGCAAACUGCGAAUACCGGAGAAUGUUAUCACGGGAGACACACGGCGGGUGCUAACGUCCGUCGUGAAGAGGGAAACAACCCAGACCGCCAGCUAAGGUCCCAAAGUCAUGGUUAAGUGGGAAACGAUGUGGGAAGGCCCAGACAGCCAGGAUGUUGGCUUAGAAGCAGCCAUCAUUUAAAGAAAGCGUAAUAGCUCACUGGUCGAGUCGGCCUGCGCGGAAGAUGUAACGGGGCUAAACCAUGCACCGAAGCUGCGGCAGCGACACUCAGGUGUUGUUGGGUAGGGGAGCGUUCUGUAAGCCUGUGAAGGUGGCCUGUGAGGGUUGCUGGAGGUAUCAGAAGUGCGAAUGCUGACAUAAGUAACGAUAAAGCGGGUGAAAAGCCCGCUCGCCGGAAGACCAAGGGUUCCUGUCCAACGUUAAUCGGGGCAGGGUGAGUCGACCCCUAAGGCGAGGCCGAAAGGCGUAGUCG
rnacentral:rRNA from 1 species